AGUGAACGCUGGCGGUAGGCCUAACACAUGCAAGUCGAACGGCAGCACAGUAAGAGCUUGCUCUUACGGGUGGCGAGUGGCGGACGGGUGCGGAAUACAUCGGAAUCUACUUUUUCGUGGGGGCUAACGUAGGGAAACUUACGCUAAUACCGCAUACGACCUACGGGUGAAAGCAGGGGAUCUUCGGACCUUGCGCGAUUGAAUGAGCCGAUGUCGGAUUAGCUAGUUGGCGGGGUAAAGGCCCACCAAGGCGACGAUCCGUAGCUGGUCUGAGAGGAUGAUCAGCCACACUGGAACUGAGACACGGUCCAGACUCCUACGGGAGGCAGCAGUGGGGAAUAUUGGACAAUGGGCGCAAGCCUGAUCCAGCCAUGCCGCGUGGGUGAAGAAGGCCUUCGGAUUGUAAAGCCCUUUUGUUGGGAAAGAAAAGCAGCAGGUUAAUACCCCGCUGUUCUGACGGUACCCAAAGAAUAAGCACCGGCUAACUUCGUG
rnacentral:rRNA from 1 species